UACGUAGGUGGCGAGCGUUGUCCGGAAUUACUGGGUGUAAAGGGCGUGUAGGCGGGGAUGUAAGUCAGAUGUGAAAUACUGGGGCUCAACUCCAGGGCUGCAUCUGAAACUAUGUCUCUUGAGUGAUGGAGAGGAAAGUGGAAUUCCUAGUGUAGCGGUGAAAUGCGUAGAUAUUAGGAGGAACACCAGUGGCGAAGGCGACUUUCUGGACAUUAACUGACGCUGAGGCGCGAAAGCGUGGGGAGCAAAC
rnacentral:rRNA from 1 species